CUUUCAACAACGGAUCUCUUGGUUCUGGCAUCGAUGAAGAACGCAGCGAAAUGCGAUAAGUAAUGCGAAUUGCAGAAUUCCCGUGAGUCAUCGAAUCUUUGAACGCACAUUGCGCCCUUUGGUAUUCCAAAGGGCAUGCCUGUCCGAGCGUCAUUAUCACCCCUCAAG
rnacentral:rRNA from 1 species